CUGGGAGCCACAGCAGGGGUCAGGGCCCUGUGAUCCCCAGCCUGAAACUGGCAGUCAGAUUUCACAGGCUUCAGACCACAGAGGAGCACUAGGACCCCACCAGAGGUGGUCCGGAGGCUGACCUGAAGGCCCUGGGGAUGGGCUAUGCAAGCUGAUUGCUCACUGCGAGUAGCAAGAGAUGCCUUGAGCCUCUUAUGGGAUCAUGAGGAUUGUGUGCUGGGAUCCCGGCAGACAAAGCUGAGAUUCAGCUGGAUAAAGCAGGCUGUAGCACAGCUGAUGUUUGUUCUCUGUGGAAAUCAGGCUCUUUUCUCCUAAGGCUGUACUGGAUAUCAGGAACUUGUAACUAUCUGGCAGCUGCUGGUAUCCUGGAGGACUGCUUAUCUUGCACAAUAUAUUAGGUGCUGAUGCACGAGUUUGCAAGGGAUGCAGAGUCUGCUGUGAAAAAAGCCCACAGGGCUUCACACAGGAGGACAAGUCAGUAUGGCCUUCUAACCUUACUUAUCCUGCCUCAGAACCACCUGAGAGGCUGCUGGAUCCGAUCACCACCUGGACAGUGCCCUGUUAACAGAUCUGCGUUAACCAACAAAUACAGAUCUGUAUUAACCAAAGAGCUGCUUGGUUUGCAGAUGACAGUUCCAAGAUGGAUGAAUGGCAUCCUGUCUGGAAGGCCACCACACUAAGACUGGCAGAUUGAAAGGCUCUGUUUGAAGAAGGUCAGUGCCCAAAAAGGUAAAGAAAACCUCAUGCAGUGUGCUUGCUUCUCCUCAUGGGCAGCCCAUUUGGAUACCCUGGAAAUUGAACCUAAUUUAAAAGCUUAUGGCCAAGUAAAGGAUCCUGACUCUAGCUCUGGAUACAGUAUUUGGCUCAUUCUGGGAACCUGACUUUGAUAAGAAGAUGAAGAACUUUGUGAAUUGAAGUAAAUCACGUGAGAAUCACUGACCUGACCUAAGAAAAGUUUGGAUUUCUGUGAAACAGUAUUCUACCACUCCUAAAGAAAUAUGCAUUUGGCUGCAGUUUUCCACUUUUCACAUAGGGGAGUGAGCUUUCUCUUGUUUGAACAACCAUCAAGAACUGGGAUAUUAUCUCAUUUCAGGUGAAAAUAGUAUUCAUGUAUGCUUAUCACAAAUUCAGUAUUCAGGGUUCAGUAUUUGCACAGAGGAAAAGUAAGCAUAAGUUUUAGAUGAAAGACAUAAAUUUUAUUAUUUAUUUUUAACUUCAAAAAUAUUAUUUUCUAUGCACAUAUGGACCUAUAAAAGAGAUCAAGAAAUUAAUACAUGUAUAUAAUACAUUUAUAACUGCUAGACCUUUAUUUGAGUCUGAUCAUGUUACUCAGUGAGAAACUUUUUUUUCUAAGUCUUAAUAAGAUGUCUUACACUAUAUUUUUAUUUAUAUUGCUUUGGCUUGUGAUUAAUUGCUUUGCUAUUCAAUACUGGCAAAAUUUUUUAUACAGUAAAUAACAUUAAUUAAAAUAAAUUUAUAACUUAUUUAAAUAAAUCUAUCAAGAUGACCUUUCACAAAUUCAAUUCCUUUUGGUUUAAGACAGUUAUUUAAGGGAAAUGUAUUAUGUUUGUCUUAAGAAUUUUUUAAAUUUAUGAAAAAGAAGGAAAGAUUAAUUUCAAGAAAGGUUAUCCAGUCUUGGAGCUACCUGAUUAUAUUCAAGACAGAUUGGCUUAAAAAAUUUGUUAGCUUUAAAUAGCAGAAAUAACUACUCUUGCAUGUAUCAUAUACCAUGUCCCAUAC
rnacentral:lncRNA from 1 species